UAAUGAUUGUGAGGCUUCCUAUGUCGGUCAAACAGGGAGACAACUUUUAACGAGAGUUAAAGAACAUAACUCGCAUAUCAGAAGGAGUGGUGCGGGCCAUUCGGUCUUAACAGACCACAGAUUGCAGUAUAACCAUGACUUUAACUGGAAAGACGUGGAAAUAUUAGACCGAGAACCGUCCCUUAGUAAACGCUUAAUAUCAGAAAUGAUUUACAUAAAAAGGCAAAGAGAAGGUUUAAAUUUGCAGACGGAUACAGAAGAUAUACCAGAGAUAUAUAUUAGUGCUAUCGAGGGACUUGUUAAAGUUUAGAAUUAUUGUUGUUACGCGGACUUGUUUUAUAUUAUGCGUGACCUUUCCCCCCGCUUCUUUAUACCGUCGAUAUCUUGUAUAAGACAAGCGUGCCAUUCUCUGUGUGAGCGUCCUCUGAGACACACCGAUUCCUGCAAUUGAUUGACGUGGCGUUGCGACUUGACUAUUGUCCAGUAUGUCAAACCUGCGUUGCGUCACAAUGACAAAGACAGUACAUCCGUUUGAAAAUUUCCUGGCGCUCCAACCAGGAAACUUCUAUGCGACGAAUUUCUGGAACGCGUCGGAGUGCACAUCCAACUGACCAGCGAUGAUUUGUUGUUUACGGCGGUAGAAUCUGUAUGUAUGUUUGCGACGAUAAUUUUUAUAUGUAUGAUAUACGCUGAGGAGGACCCCAAAGAAGGGUCGAAACGUUCGUUCGUUCGUUAAUUGACUUCGGUAUUUGUGACUGUAGAUAAUAAAGUUUAGCGUUUUAACGA